CUUUACUGUAGCCUGGUAUUGGGUUCGGGCUUUGACUGUGCAGGAUAGGUGGGAGACUAUGAAGCAAUCCUUGUGGGGGUUGCUGAGUCAACGGUGAGAUACCACUCUGUCAGAGCUAGAAUUCUAACUAAAUGCCGUUAUCCGGCUUUGGAACCGUAUCAGGUGGGCAGUUUGACUGGGGCGGUCGCCUCCAAAAAGGUAACGGAGGCGUACAAAGGUUACCUCAGACUGGUUGGAAAUCAGCCGUAGAGUGUAAAGGCAGAAGAGAGCUUGACUGCAAGAGCUACAACUCGAGCAGGGUGGAAACACGGCCUUAGUGAUCCGACGGCGCUGAGUGGAAGGGCCGUCGCUCAACGGAUAAAAGUUA
rnacentral:rRNA from 1 species